CCGGUUGAUCCUGCCAGAGGCUACUGCCAUCAGAGUUCGAUUAAGCCAUGUUAGUCGAGGGUGCUUCUUCUUCGGAAGAAGUAACCCGGCGGACGGCUCAGUAACACGUGGAUAACUUGCCCUUGGGUCCGGGAUAACCCCUGAGAAAUUGGGGACAAUACCGGAUAGGGCAUCGAUAGCUGGAAUGCACGAUGUCCAAAAGCUGAGGCGCCCAAGGAUAGGUCUGCGGCUGAUUAGGUUGUUGUUGAUGUAAUGGAUCAACAAGCCUGCAAUCGGUACGGGUUGUGAGAGCAAGAGCCCGGAGAUGGGUUCUGAGAAAAGAACCCAGGUCCUACGGGACGCAUCAGGCGCGAAAACUUUACAAUGUGCGAAAGCACGAUAAGGGAACUCUGAGUGCCUCCUAUGGAGGCUGUUCAGGUGUCUAAAAAGCACUUGAAGUAAGGGCUGGGUAAGACCGGUGCCAGCCGCCGCGGUAACACCGGCAGCCCAAGUGGUAGCCACGAUUAUUGGGUCUAAAGCGUCCGUAGCCGGCCAGGUAAGUUCUUUGGGAAAUUUAACCGCUCAACGGUUAAGCUUUCAGGGAAUACUGCUUGGCUUGGGACCGGGAGAGGUCAGAGGUACUUCAAGGGUAGGGGUGAAAUCCGUUAAUCCUUGAGGGACCACCAGUAGCGAA
rnacentral:rRNA from 1 species